UACGUAGGGGGCAAGCGUUGUCCGGAUUUAUUGGGCGUAAAGGGCGCGUAGGUGGCCACCAUAAGGCCGCGGUGAAAGUUCGGGGCUCAACCCUGAAUCGGCCGCGGCGACUGUGGGGCUCGGGUACUGUAGAGGCAGGUGGAAUUCCCGGUGUAGCGGUGAAAUGCGCAGAUAUCGGGAGGAACACCGGUGGCGAAGGCGGUUCUCUGGGCCUUACCUGACGCUGAGGAGCGAAAGCGUGGGGAGCAAAAGGG
rnacentral:rRNA from 1 species